rnacentral:tRNA from 1 species
GCCUAGGUGGCUCAGUCGGUUGAGUGUCUGACUUAGGCUCAGGUCAUGAUCUUGCGGUUCGUGAGUUCGAGCCCCGCAUCGGGCU